GAAUCCAUAGGUUAAUGAGGCGAACCGGGGGAACUGAAACAUCUAAGUACCCCGAGGAAAAGAAAUCAACCGAGAUUCCCCCAGUAGCGGCGAGCGAACGGGGAGCAGCCCAGAGCCUGAAUCAGUGUGUGUGUUAGUGGAAGCGUCUGGAAAGGCGCGCGAUACAGGGUGACAGCCCCGUACACAAAAAUGCACAUGCUGUGAGCUCGAUGAGUAGGGCGGGACACGUGGUAUCCUGUCUGAAUAUGGGGGGACCAUCCUCCAAGGCUAAAUACUCCUGACUGACCGAUAGUGAACCAGUACCGUGAGGGAAAGGCGAAAAGAACCCCGGCGAGGGGAGUGAAAAAGAACCUGAAACCGUGUACGUACAAGCAGUGGGAGCACGCUUAGGCGUGUGACUGCGUACCUUUUGUAUAAUGGGUCAGCGACUUAUAUUCUGUAGCAAGGUUAACCGAAUAGGGGAGCCGAAGGGAAACCGAGUCUUAACUGGGCGUUAAGUUGCAGGGUAUAGACCCGAAACCCGGUGAUCUAGCCAUGGGCAGGUUGAAGGUUGGGUAACACUAACUGGAGGACCGAACCGACUAAUGUUGAAAAAUUAGCGGAUGACUUGUGGCUGGGGGUGAAAGGCCAAUCAAACCGGGAGAUAGCUGGUUCUCCCCGAAAGCUAUUUAGGUAGCGCCUCGUGAAUUCAUCUCCGGGGGUAGAGCACUGUUUCGGCAAGGGGGUCAUCCCGACUUACCAACCCGAUGCAAACUGCGAAUACCGGAGAAUGUUAUCACGGGAGACACACGGCGGGUGCUAACGUCCGUCGUGAAGAGGGAAACAACCCAGACCGCCAGCUAAGGUCCCAAAGUCAUGGUUAAGUGGGAAACGAUGUGGGAAGGCCCAGACAGCCAGGAUGUUGGCUUAGAAGCAGCCAUCAUUUAAAGAAAGCGUAAUAGCUCACUGGUCGAGUCGGCCUGCGCGGAAGAUGUAACGGGGCUAAACCAUGCACCGAAGCUGCGGCAGCGACGCUUAUGCGUUGUUGGGUAGGGGAGCGUUCUGUAAGCCUGUGAAGGUGUGCUGUGAGGCAUGCUGGAGGUAUCAGAAGUGCGAAUGCUGACAUAAGUAACGAUAAAGCGGGUGAAAAGCCCGCUCGCCGGAAGACCAAGGGUUCCUGUCCAACGUUAAUCGGGGCAGGGUGAGUCGACCCCUAAGGCGAGGCCGAAAGGCGUAGUCGAUGGGAAACAGGUUAAUAUUCCUGUACUUGGUGUUACUGCGAAGGGGGGACGGAGAAGGCUAUGUUGGCCGGGCGACGGUUGUCCCGGUUUAAGCGUGUAGGCUGGUUUUCCAGGCAAAUCCGGAAAAUCAAGGCUGAGGCGUGAUGACGAGGCACUACGGUGCUGAAGCAACAAAUGCCCUGCUUCCAGGAAAAGCCUCUAAGCAUCAGGUAACAUCAAAUCGUACCCCAAACCGACACAGGUGGUCAGGUAGAGAAUACCAAGGCGCUUGAGAGAACUCGGGUGAAGGAACUAGGCAAAAUGGUGCCGUAACUUCGGGAGAAGGCACGCUGAUAUGUAGGUGAAGUCCCUCGCGGAUGGAGCUGAAAUCAGUCGAAGAUACCAGCUGGCUGCAACUGUUUAUUAAAAACACAGCACUGUGCAAACACGAAAGUGGACGUAUACGGUGUGACGCCUGCCCGGUGCCGGAAGGUUAAUUGAUGGGGUUAGCGCAAGCGAAGCUCUUGAUCGAAGCCCCGGUAAACGGCGGCCGUAACUAUAACGGUCCUAAGGUAGCGAAAUUCCUUGUCGGGUAAGUUCCGACCUGCACGAAUGGCGUAAUGAUGGCCAGGCUGUCUCCACCCGAGACUCAGUGAAAUUGAACUCGCUGUGAAGAUGCAGUGUACCCGCGGCAAGACGGAAAGACCCCGUGAACCUUUACUAUAGCUUGACACUGAACAUUGAGCCUUGAUGUGUAGGAUAGGUGGGAGGCUUUGAAGUGUGGACGCCAGUCUGCAUGGAGCCGACCUUGAAAUACCACCCUUUAAUGUUUGAUGUUCUAACGUUGACCCGUAAUCCGGGUUGCGGACAGUGUCUGGUGGGUAGUUUGACUGGGGCGGUCUCCUCCUAAAGAGUAACGGAGGAGCACGAAGGUUGGCUAAUCCUGGUCGGACAUCAGGAGGUUAGUGCAAUGGCAUAAGCCAGCUUGACUGCGAGCGUGACGGCGCGAGCAGGUGCGAAAGCAGGUCAUAGUGAUCCGGUGGUUCUGAAUGGAAGGGCCAUCGCUCAACGGAUAAAAGGUACUCCGGGGAUAACAGGCUGAUACCGCCCAAGAGUUCAUAUCGACGGCGGUGUUUGGCACCUCGAUGUCGGCUCAUCACAUCCUGGGGCUGAAGUAGGUCCCAAGGGUAUGGCUGUUCGCCAUUUAAAGUGGUACGCGAGCUGGGUUUAGAACGUCGUGAGACAGUUCGGUCCCUAUCUGCCGUGGGCGCUGGAGAACUGAGGGGGGCUGCUCCUAGUACGAGAGGACCGGAGUGGACGCAUCACUGGUGUUCGGGUUGUCAUGCCAAUGGCACUGCCCGGUAGCUAAAUGCGGAAGAGAUAAGUGCUGAAAGCAUCUAAGCACGAAACUUGCCCCGAGAUGAGUUCUCCCUGACUCCUUGAGAGUCCUGAAGGAACGUUGAAGACGACGACGUUGAUAGGCCGGGUGUGUAAGCGCAGCGAUGCGUUGAGCUAACCGGUACUAAUGAACCGUGAGGCUUAACCUU
rnacentral:rRNA from 1 species